AACGAACGCUGGCGGCAUGCCUAACACAUGCAAGUCGAACGAGACCUUCGGGUCUAGUGGCGCACGGGUGCGUAACGCAUGGGAACCUGACCUUAGGUUCGGAAUAACUCCCCGAAAGGGGUGCUAAUACCGGAUAAUGUCUUCGGACCAAAGAUUUAUCGCCUUUGGAUGGGCCCGCGUUGGAUUAGCUAGUUGGUAGGGUAAAAGCCUACCAAGGCGACGAUCCAUAGCUGGUUUGAGAGGAUGAUCAGCCACACUGGGACUGAGACACAGCCCAGACUCCUACGGGAGGCAGCAGUGGGGAAGAUUGUACAAUGGGCCGAAGCCUGAUCCAGCCAUUCCGCGUGAGUGAUGAAGGCCUUAGGGUUGUAAAGCUCUUUUACCCGGGAUGAUAAUGACAGUACCGGGAGAAUAAGCUCCGGCUAGCUCCGUG
rnacentral:rRNA from 1 species